CACUCAUGCUGGAUUUAAAGGUUUCCUGGGUGGAGAGAGUGAAGUAAGCUGUGAGGCUCUGACUUCAGCCUUUCUCCCGAGCCAGAUGCCCUUGGAGUCAGAGCUGGACAUCAACAUUUCCCAUGAAGAGGGUUCACCUACAGCAUUGCUCUGGUGCACAGGGGGAGGUUUUGUGGGAUCUAGCCAUAAAAUCAUGGACACACCUGGAAAUCUGUGAGUCCUCCAGAGCCAGAAAUGUUGUGUAAGGAACCAUGAGACAGAAACAUCCCUCUACACAGCCCUGAGGAAGGAGCCCCCCCAGGAAGGCUGACAAAUAACAUCCUUUUGCACAGCGUAUUUGUGGGAAACGACAAAGGGACACCAGCUCAGAGCAAAACCUCAUGAGCAGGAGGACGACAGACGGAGGAAAUGGUCUGAAAAGCAAUGGAUGGAAAGACAGAAGGGGAUGAACAACUCCACUUCAGCAGGGUACUGCACGGGAGGAAAGCAGAAUGCUGGCUGUGACCUUUUGCUCUCUUCAGGACUGAUUUUCACAAAGUUUUUGAAUCCCUGUUGACACUGUGGUCACUGGGACCAUUGGACUCCACUCCCCUGAAAUGAAGUUCUUUGAGGUUGGAAAAGACUUUUGAGGUCAUCGAGUCCAACCAUUAACCCAGCACCAGUGGUGCCACAGGGGAGGAUGGCAGGGCAGGGGUGCUAAUCUAGAGAUGAAGUCAGAGUUGCGCACUUGGAUGUCUUUUCACAAACUAAGUGUGUUGAUUUGGCAGAAAUUUUCUUAUCCUUUAGGUGAUUUUAAAUGAGAAAAGUACUGCUGAGCUUCAAGAUUUACUGAGUUGCCCAGUAGAAUGAAUCUUGCUGAGUCCAGUAGCCAGGCCUAGCUGAUGGCCAACAUCAGCUUUCCUGCUCCUGUGUUUGGGAAGGGUUUUCAGAGCUGGAGGACUACAGACACAGCCUUCAUCAGUUGUGUGUUUGCGAUUUACCAAGCAAAUUUAUGUGGGCUUUACGGUGCAAUUUCAUUAAAAUGUCCUUUUUCCCUAACUCCAGAAGAUGGUUACAAAACAUGCUGAAAUUUGUUUUUCACUCGUUCGGGCUUCCAGAACUUUGUGCUCAUCUAUCUUACGUUAUUUUUCUUUCUAUUUGUGGUUUUGAGGUCAUGGCUUCAGAAAUGUUAACUCUUCAAGUAAAGUUCUGAGCCAAAACCAAAUUCUUCUUGAAGGAAAUACUGACCUUUCCACUGGUGCCUCACAAAUGAAAAACAUGGAAAUGGAUACAUGGUAAUUGAUCUCUCCUCUGAUCAAAAGGUACCUCAGGGAAGUUAUGUCCUCAUGGAAAAUGCUAAAUGAUAGUCUUGGGUGGACAGUGCAAACAGACACAAGCUUUCCCACAAAUAUUUGCUUGUCUUAAAUCUACUUGGCUCUGCUAUGGCUCACCACAGUUUAUUUUCCACAAAUAUUCUAACAAGAGCUUGUUGGCAAGAAUCUACAUAGAAACUACUCAGGGUAACAUCUGAGGAAACUAUUUUGGAAGUCUGUUUUAAGGCCAGCAACCCUAAAC